GGGGAGGAGGGCGGCCGGUGGUAGUGGAUGGUAUUUCUGUAGUACCGGCUGAUGCCGUGCGGUGCGACGAUGCAACCGCUCAUCGCGUUCGCCGUGUCGACUCGAGGACGCGAGAUCGUGGUGGGGUUCCGGGGCCGCACGAAUCUCGAGGCGCGGCGGCGUGGACGGCGGCCGUCCAUUGGCUGCGUUCGGCACCGACGGAGAUAAGGUGUAUUUGGCGUCGAGGAAGAUAAGGUAGUUGAGCAGUAUUCAUUGGUGUGUGAUCGAUCGACCGAGAGUUGGCAAAAAAAGUUUACACACCAAGUAAUGAGUGACCUGCGUCGUCGUCUCGCCUGUUUCUGUUGACAGUUGACAAUAAUUUCUUAGAUCGAAACUUUAUUUGUACUCCCUCCAUCUCAAUAUAGGUGAAUUUCUAGCACUAUGUACUGUAUAGCCAAAUUAGUUGCAUAAAAAAUAACUUAUAUGCCGCCUUGAGAGCUAUAAAAUUAGAGGUUGAUUUAAGGCGCUCGACCUUCGAACCGCCUUGAGAGCUAGAGAGUUGUACUCCAAGCUGUAAUCAUCCUUGUAACUCUCAAGUCUUUUUUAACUCCUUUUAUUCCUCCUAAUAUAUUCGAGCAGGCCU